rnacentral:rRNA from 1 species
UACGUAGGGGGCAAGCGUUAUCCGGAAUCACUGGGUGUAAAGGGAGCGUAGACGGCUGUGCAAGCCUGAAGUGAAAGGCGGGGGCCCAACCCCCGGACUGCUUUGGGAACUGUACGGCUGGAGUGCAGGGGAGGUAAGUGGAAUUCCUAGUGUAGCGGUGAAAUGCGUAGAUAUUAGGAGGAACACCAGUGGCGAAGGCGGCUUACUGGACUGUAACUGACGUUGAGGCUCGAAAGCGUGGGGAGCGAACAGG